CGGCUUUCAACGACGAUAUCAACCGACAACUCACACUUUUGCGUGUUGAUAUGUUGUUUGAAUGCCCCU
rnacentral:pre_miRNA from 1 species